AGUUUUUCGGCAUCAGUAGUCUUGCGGCUUUCCAUUUCAUGAGAUUGAUUUUGGGUGGGGUAAGCCGAUUUGGUUUCUAGCGGCCCCAUUUAAUCAAGUCGACGGCGCUAAUUUGUACAAGACUGGUGAUGGGGGCAUAGAAGCAAUAAUUGGAUUGACAACACAGGUUAUGUCCAGUUUAGAUAAGGACAAAGAGUUUAUUGCUCGUGUAUCUUGUAUCCAAACCUUGUCGUCGGAACAGCCCACUUUACCCAGCAACUAUUAAUCCAAUCUAUCAAUGGUAUGGUUAAUAUCAAGUAAUAAUAAUGUUAGCUAUGUUAUAUCCUUCGCUAUUUGAAUGUAGUACUAAUUAUAAUUCCAUC